rnacentral:rRNA from 1 species
AUUGAACGCUGGCGGCAUGCCUUACACAUGCAAGUCGAACGGCAGCACGGGAGCAAUCCUGGUGGCGAGUGGCGAACGGGUGAGUAAUAUAUCGGAACGUGCCCAGUCGUGGGGGAUAACGUAGCGAAAGCUACGCUAAUACCGCAUACUAUCUAUGGAUGAAAGCGGGGGAUCGCAAGACCUCGCGCGAUUGGAGCGGCCGAUAUCAGAUUAGGUAGUUGGUGAGGUAAAGGCUCACCAAGCCGACGAUCUGUAGCUGGUCUGAGAGGACGACCAGCCACACUGGGACUGAGACACGGCCCAGACUCCUACGGGAGGCAGCAGUGGGGAAUUUUCCGCAAUGGGCGAAAGCCUGACGGAGCAAUACCGCGUGAGGGAAGAAAGCCCUCGGGUUGUAAACUGCUUUUGUACGGAACGAAAAGGUUUCUAUUAAUACUAGGAGCUCAUGACGGUACCGUAAGAAUAAGCACCGGCUAACUACGU